AGUAAAACGAGUAUAACUCCUUACUCAGAUGUUGGAUUUGGAUGAAACCAAUUGCAUCGGAAAUAAGACUCAAAGAUAUUUCUUUUGAUAUGUGGUAGCUCUCCCAGUUCAUUAUAUUGAGGGAGUUAUGAUCGUUCAAAGUUGACCCAAAAAACUGGCAGGCCUCAGUAGUUUGUGUGCAGGAAAUUUUCCUGCACAUUUACUGUUCACAACAUCCCGGCCACCGUUUUAUAGUUUCGAACGUGCUCGAUUAUAUCCGAAACUUAUCCAUUUUUGGAAAUCUUUAUAUCGUUGG
rnacentral:lncRNA from 1 species